rnacentral:rRNA from 1 species
UACGAAGGGGGCUAGCGUUGUUCGGAAUUACUGGGCGUAAAGCGCACGUAGGCGGCUUUCUAAGUCAGGGGUGAAAUCCUGGAGCUCAACUCCAGAAUUGCCUUUGAUACUGGAGAGCUAGAGUCCGGGAGAGGUGAGUGGAACUCCGAGUGUAGAGGUGAAAUUCGUAGAUAUUCGGAAGAACACCAGUGGCGAAGGCGGCUCACUGGCCCGGUACUGACGCUGAGGUGCGAAAGCGUGGGGAGCAAACAGG